GACGAACGCUGGCGGCGUGCUUAACACAUGCAAGUCGAACGGAAAGGCCCUGCUUUUGUGGGGUGCUCGAGUGGCGAACGGGUGAGUAACACGUGAGUAACCUGCCCUUGACUUUGGGAUAACUUCAGGAAACUGGGGCUAAUACCGGAUAGGAGCUCCUGCUGCAUGGUGGGGGUUGGAAAGUUUCGGCGGUUGGGGAUGGACUCGCGGCUUAUCAGCUUGUUGGUGGGGUAGUGGCUUACCAAGGCUUUGACGGGUAGCCGGCCUGAGAGGGUGACCGGCCACAUUGGGACUGAGAUACGGCCCAGCCUCCUACGGGAGGCAGCAGUGGGGAAUAUUGCACAAUGGGCGGAAGCCUGAUGCAGCAACGCCGCGUGCGGGAUGACGGCCUUCGGGUUGUAAACCGCCUUCGCCUGUGACGAAGCGUGAGUGACGGUAAUGGGUAAAGAAGCACCGGCUAACUACGUG
rnacentral:rRNA from 1 species